GUGGCUGCCGGAUGGGUGCUCUCUACUAGUGCUGUGCAGAGGCUUUCGCUGAGGCUGCUGUGAGCCUGUAGGCUUUCCACCUAUGCUAUGGAGCCAG
rfam:Equus caballus chromosome 2, whole genome shotgun sequence.